rnacentral:rRNA from 1 species
AGAGUUUGAUCCUGGCUCAGGAUGAACGCUGGCGGCGUGCCUAAUACAUGCAAGUCGAGCGAACGGACGAGAAGCUNNNNNNNNNNNNNNNNNNNNNNNNAUAAAAUGUAUAAUUAAUUCUUGUCGGUAAGAAAAAUGAACAUUGAAAACUGAAUGACAAUAUGUCAACGUUAAUUCCAAAAAACGUAACUAUAAGUUACAAACAUUAUUUAGUAUUUAUGAGCUAAUCAAACAUCAUAAUUUUUAUGGAGAGUUUGAUCCUGGCUCAGGAUGAACGCUGGCGGCGUGCCUAAUACAUGCAAGUCGAGCGAACGGACGAGAAGCUUGCUUCUCUGAUGUUAGCGGCGGACGGGUGAGUAACACGUGGAUAACCUACCUAUAAGACUGGGAUAACUUCGGGAAACCGGAGCUAAUACCGGAUAAUAUUUUGAACCGCAUGGUUCAAAAGUGAAAGACGGUCUUGCUGUCACUUAUAGAUGGAUCCGCGCUGCAUUAGCUAGUUGGUAAGGUAACGGCUUACCAAGGCAACGAUGCAUAGCCGACCUGAGAGGGUGAUCGGCCACACUGGAACUGAGACACGGUCCAGACUCCUACGGGAGGCAGCAGUAGGGAAUCUUCCGCAAUGGGCGAAAGCCUGACGGAGCAACGCCGCGUGAGUGAUGAAGGUCUUCGGAUCGUAAAACUCUGUUAUUAGGGAAGAACAUAUGUGUAAGUAACUGUGCACAUCUUGACGGUACCUAAUCAGAAAGCCACGGCUAACUACGUGCCAGCAGCCGCGGUAAUACGUAGGUGGCAAGCGUUAUCCGGAAUUAUUGGGCGUAAAGCGCGCGUAGGCGGUUUUUUAAGUCUGAUGUGAAAGCCCACGGCUCAACCGUGGAGGGUCAUUGGAAACUGGAAAACUUGAGUGCAGAAGAGGAAAGUGGAAUUCCAUGUGUAGCGGUGAAAUGCGCAGAGAUAUGGAGGAACACCAGUGGCGAAGGCGACUUUCUGGUCUGUAACUGACGCUGAUGUGCGAAAGCGUGGGGAUCAAACAGGAUUAGAUACCCUGGUAGUCCACGCCGUAAACGAUGAGUGCUAAGUGUUAGGGGGUUUCCGCCCCUUAGUGCUGCAGCUAACGCAUUAAGCACUCCGCCUGGGGAGUACGACCGCAAGGUUGAAACUCAAAGGAAUUGACGGGGACCCGCACAAGCGGUGGAGCAUGUGGUUUAAUUCGAAGCAACGCGAAGAACCUUACCAAAUCUUGACAUCCUUUGACAACUCUAGAGAUAGAGCCUUCCCCUUCGGGGGACAAAGUGACAGGUGGUGCAUGGUUGUCGUCAGCUCGUGUCGUGAGAUGUUGGGUUAAGUCCCGCAACGAGCGCAACCCUUAAGCUUAGUUGCCAUCAUUAAGUUGGGCACUCUAAGUUGACUGCCGGUGACAAACCGGAGGAAGGUGGGGAUGACGUCAAAUCAUCAUGCCCCUUAUGAUUUGGGCUACACACGUGCUACAAUGGACAAUACAAAGGGCAGCGAAACCGCGAGGUCAAGCAAAUCCCAUAAAGUUGUUCUCAGUUCGGAUUGUAGUCUGCAACUCGACUACAUGAAGCUGGAAUCGCUAGUAAUCGUAGAUCAGCAUGCUACGGUGAAUACGUUCCCGGGUCUUGUACACACCGCCCGUCACACCACGAGAGUUUGUAACACCCGAAGCCGGUGGAGUAACCUUUUAGGAGCUAGCCGUCGAAGGUGGGACAAAUGAUUGGGGUGAAGUCGUAACAAGGUAGCCGUAUCGGAAGGUGCGGCUGGAUCACCU